AGCUGGUCUAAGUGCAAUGGUGUUUACAACUAAUUGAUCACAAGCAGUUACAGAUUUCUUUGUUCCUUCUCCACUCCCACUGCUUUAUUUGACUUGGUUUAA
ensembl:misc_RNA Y_RNA Y RNA